rnacentral:rRNA from 1 species
GAUCCCUGGCUCAGGACGAACGCUGGCGGCGUGCCUAAUACAUGCAAGUCGAGCGAAUCUUUGGGAGCUUGCUCCCGAAGGUUAGCGGCGGACGGGUGAGUAACACGUGGGCAACCUGCCUAUAAGACUGGGAUAACUUCGGGAAACCGGAGCUAAUACCGGAUAAUCCUUUUCCUCUCAUGAGGGAAAGCUGAAAGACGGUCUCGGCUGUCACUUAUAGAUGGGCCCGCGGCGCAUUAGCUAGUUGGUGAGGUAACGGCUCACCAAGGCGACGAUGCGUAGCCGACCUGAGAGGGUGAUCGGCCACACUGGGACUGAGACACGGCCCAGACUCCUACGGGAGGCAGCAGUAGGGAAUCUUCCGCAAUGGACGAAAGUCUGACGGAGCAACGCCGCGUGAACGAUGAAGGCUUUCGGGUCGUAAAGUUCUGUUGUUAGGGAAGAACAAGUAUCGGAGUAACUGCCGGUACCUUGACGGUACCUAACCAGAAAGCCACGGCUAACUA